UAAAUAGGGACAGAUAUAAAAAAAAUAUGAACAAGUAAAUAGCGACAUAAAGAGUCUUUUUUGGAAUUAAAUCAUUGAAACGAUGAUUAAAUUUUGUGAUUGGACUGAUAGGGCGGUUUUUUUACUAGCGUGUUCGAUUUGAUGGUCGAAGCCCGCAAAAAAAAGAUAGAAAAGUUUCUGGAUCGUCGGAGCCGGAGACUGAGUAGACCGGCCGGAAUUAAGCAACAGUCAGUUGGAACUGCAUCCUAUAAAUCUAGGUAUAGUGAGACCGCCCAUUGGAUGAUCGAAACCAAAUUCUUCCUCAACUUGGAUAAGCAAGUCUUGAAAUAAAGGUUGGCUCAAGAAUGAUAUAGGGAUCACAAAUCUCUUCUUCUGUUCCUCCCCAACAUACACAGCACAGUGGCCUUUCGGAACAUCUUUAGUUGUAGAAGACUUCUUGAUUAUACGAGGCAUAUGGAUAGCCAUGAUUGUUUAGUUCAAUAUAGAUGAGCAAAUAUUGUAAGUAAGGACUUUGAAAGCAGAGCAAAGAUUUGAAUAGUUUCAGGUUUUGCUGAGAGCUGGGUGGUAAGGGUUCUUUUUUAUGUGUUUAUAUAGGCUAAUGGCCAGUAGAUAAGUCUUAGUGAUAUGCAUUUUAUGUAGGCACCACUUAAAGAUUGUUGUGUAGUUGAGUUUUGGUGAGGCACUGUUUAGAGACAAUUGCACAUGA